ACUCAGGUGGAUCCAACCAACAACGGGUAAUGUAAGCCAGCGAUUUCGUGAAGGGCUCUCAUGUGUUGCAGCAAAGGUGAUUGGCCUUACACGAGGGAAAACCCCACUCUACCAGCUCUACCUUGAUGCAAGAGAGGAGGCUCUCACUGAUGACCUACCAGAUCUUGACACAAGGGCUGCACUUUUAUUCCUGCCAUACGUCUUCAAGGAGAAACUGGAUCUCUUUGUCAUACUUGGAGAGGUUCAUCCGAAAACCCCCUAUCCAACUGUGCAGCUACUUCAUGAAGACUGGAAACCAGUGUUCUCCAGAAGCGCUCCAAACAUUGUGAAGUUGGAUGGCAGUGAAGUGUGCAGAAGCUCGUGUAUUUUUGAAGGAAUCAUCUCUUCUUUCUGCUUGUAUUUUGUCUUCAACCUUGCUUAUCCAAAACAUCUGAAGAACACCCUGAUUUUUCUCCAAAAGUACAUUGUGAAAAUAGAUGAGGGUGAGGACCGGCCUCUGCCAAUCACAGUCACCAGACAAAUAAAUCUUCUGUAUUGACCACCAUGCCUCAGCCAUAUCAGUGCUCCAAAUGUGGCAGAAGAACCUUCAGUUUGACAAAGCUUAUUCAGCACAUAGGACUUAUUCAUUCCCAUGAUGCCAAUUUUGAUAUAACCUGUGGACUCAGUGACUGCUGUUCUUCCUUCAAAAAAUAUGAAUCUUUCAGACGACAUGUGUAUAGGAAACACAGAGAGCAAGUGUUGUGUCCCCAUAAAGACUUAGAUGAAAAUGAGCAGGAGGUAGUCAGUCCACAUCCAAAUGAAUUUGCAAAUGACAUAACUGAAAAUAUUGAAACCCCUCCAUCCUGGGAUGAAUUUUUGAUAAAUUUCAGAGACAAUCUUUUCAAGUUCAUUCUUAAGUGCAGAGAGAAAAAUUCUUUACCGGUCUCUGUUCAGGAAGAAAUUGUGGAAGACGUAAAUUUUCUGAUGUGUUUUUUCAAGGAGAACUACGAUGCUUUUAUAGCAUAU